rnacentral:rRNA from 1 species
AUUGAACGCUGGCGGCAGGCCUAACACAUGCAAGUCGAGCGGGGUUUUCGGACCUAGCGGCGGACGGGUGAGUAAUGCGUAGGAAGCUGCCCGAUAGAGGGGGAUACCAGUUGGAAACGACUGUUAAUACCGCAUAAUGUCUACGGACCAAAGUGUGGGACCUUCGGGCCACAUGCUAUCGGAUGCGCCUACGUGGGAUUAGCUAGUUGGUGAGGUAAUGGCUCACCAAGGCGACGAUCUCUAGCUGGUUUGAGAGGAUGAUCAGCCACACUGGAACUGAGACACGGUCCAGACUCCUACGGGAGGCAGCAGUGGGGAAUAUUGGACAAUGGGCGGAAGCCUGAUCCAGCCAUGCCGCGUGUGUGAAGAAGGCCUUAUGGUUGUAAAGCACUUUAAGCGAGGAGGAGGCUCUCUUAGUUAAUACCUAAGAUGAGUGGACGUUACUCGCAGAAUAAGCACCGGCUAACUCUGUGCCAGCAGCCGCCGUAAAAC